rnacentral:misc_RNA from 1 species
UGAACAGGGUGAAGCUGAAGCAAAUGACUCUGUCUCUGGUAAUGCCAUCCAUACACACAACAGUCUUGUUACUUAUUAAAUUGGUGAUGAUUUGCAGAGCGAUCAGUUUCCAAGUUGUCUUGUGAGAAUGGUCACAGCUGUUGGCAGUGACACUGAUUCAAGUUGAAGGUUUUCUAGCAAUUUCUUUCAGCUUGUUUUCUGUAAUGUACAGAUAUUAUAGUGUCAUCAUCAAUACACGCGGUCAUCUCGUCCUUUGAUACUUUGCAUGAGAUUACCUCUUGAGAAUUUUAUGCCGGAUGUAUCA